GGCCUCGUGGCGCAAUGGUAGCGCAUUCGACUCCAGAUUAAAAGGUUAUUCGUUCAAACCGGGUCGGGGUCA